GAUAACGUAAUAUCACAACUCUUAUCACAACUCUGCUGCUGCGCAUCGUAUAUCGAGAAAAGAGCACCGCAGUUCAUCCCUAUACGCGCUUAAAGGUAAUUCCUGGAAAAGCCUGGAUCCGGAGCGGCGCAGGUUCUAGCAACAGCUGUCAGUCGCCCGGGUAAAGAUGAGAGGAGCCUCCAUCCGGUUUCGUGAGGGUAGUUGCUGCCGCCGCGGCGUAUAGAGAAGGGAGACAGAGAGGAACGAGGAUGAGGAUGUCGAAGCUGGAAGGUAAAACCAGGGAGAAAGAGGGGGAGGCAGCAGGAGGCAGUGAAGAGACGCCGCCGCUGGAAGAGCAACACUACUACCGUUGCGGAGGGACUUAGGAGGAGGUCGGUUGCGGUUGACGUGGAAGGGCGAAGAGGAGAUCGGGCGGGCUGGUGGGGUAAGGCGCGGGUGGUAGGGAACGACACGGAGGGAAACAAAAACCAGACUUCAACACGCCAUCGCACCCUUACGGUAUAACGUCACUUGCAGAAUAUAAUCAGGAUUUGUAGCGAAGCGUGGAGUCGUGCCGCGCGGUCGGUACCGUCUCGCAGGCGGGAGAAGAGGCGGUCGGUUUCGAGAGAAGGACGAAAGGUACGC